rnacentral:rRNA from 1 species
CUGGGCCAUAACUGACGCUCAUGGACGAGAGCCAGGGGAGCGAAAGGGAUUAGAUACCCCUGUAGUCCUGGCCGUAAACGAUGAACACUAGGUGUCGGGGGAAUCGACCCCCUCGGUGUCGUAGCCAACGCGUUAAGUGUUCCGCCUGGGGAGUACGCACGCAAGUGUGAAACUCAAAGGAAUUGACGGGGGCCCGCACAAGCGGUGGAGUAUGUGGUUUAAUUCGAUGCAACGCGAAGAACCUUACCAGGGUUUGACAUCCUGCGAACCUCGAAGAAAUUUGAGGGUGCCUUCGGGAACGCAGUGACAGGUGGUGCAUGGCUGUCGUCAGCUCGUGUCGUGAGAUGUUGGGUUAAGUCCCGCAACGAGCGCAACCCACGUUUUUAGUUGCCAGCAUUCAGUUGGGCACUCUAGAGAGACCGCCGGUGAUAAACCGGAGGAAGGUGUGGACGACGUCAAGUCAUCAUGCCCCUUACAUCCUGGGCUACACACGUACUACAAUGCUACGGACAAAGGGCAGCGAACUCGCGAGGGCAAGCAAAUCCCAUAAACCGUGGCUCAGUUCAGAUCGUAGGCUGCAACUCGCCUACGUGAAGCAGGAAUCGCUAGUAAUCGCAGGUCAGCAUACUGCGGUGAAUACGUUCCCGGGCCUUGUACACACCGCCCGUCACACCAUGGAAGUUGGCCACGCCCGAAGUCGUUACUCCAACCCUUGUGGAGGAGGACGCCGAAGGUGGGGCUAAUGACUGGGGUGAAGUCGUAACAAGGUAACC